GAUGAACGCUGGCGGCGUGCUUAACACAUGCAAGUCGAACGGAAAGGCCCAAGCUUGCUUGGGUACUCGAGUGGCGAACGGGUGAGUAACACGUGGGUGAUCUGCCCUGCACUUCGGGAUAAGCCUGGGAAACUGGGUCUAAUACCGGAUAGGACCACAUUUUGGAUGGUGUGGUGGAAAGUUUUUCGGUGUGGGAUGAGCUCGCGGCCUAUCAGCUUGUUGGUGGGGUAAUGGCCUACCAAGGCGUCGACGGGUAGCCGGCCUGAGAGGGUGUACGGCCACAUUGGGACUGAGAUACGGCCCAGACUCCUACGGGAGGCAGCAGUGGGGAAUAUUGCACAAUGGGCGCAAGCCUGAUGCAGCGACGCCGCGUGGGGGAUGACGGCCUUCGGGUUGUAAACUCCUUUCGCUAGGGACGAAGCGUUAUGUGACGGUACUUGGAGAAGAAGCACCGGCUAACUACGUG
rnacentral:rRNA from 1 species